rnacentral:lncRNA from 1 species
UUCCUGAGGCCCUCAUCAUUAAAAAUCAUAAACAAAAGAGGGUUACACUGAGUUAGCUAUAAAACUAAUCUUCCCUGAGGCCCUCAUCAUUAAAAAUCAUAAACAAAAGAGGUUACACUGAGUUAGCUAUAAAACUAAUCUUCCCUGAGGCCCUCAUCAUUAAAAAUCAUAAACAAAAGAGGGUUACACUGAGUUAGCUAUACAACUAAUCUUCCCUGAGGCCCUCAUCAUUAAAAAUCAUAAACAAAAUGCAAAC